rnacentral:sRNA from 1 species
UAAAAAAGGCGCAAAAUCAACACAUGCAAACAAAGAUUUGUAAUGAUUGUCACCCCGGCUUGAUUCAGUCGCAGCUCAACUUGAGCACCUUCGGAAAUAUGUUUCGAGUGGAAUCAGCUGAGCCGUUCAACGGCGGCAAGACGGCUUAAGUUGAGCUCAAAAAGGAACGAUUGCAAGCCCCCUGCUG